ACUUAGGACAGUCAGCAGUGCCUAUAUUAGCCAAUGCGCGUAAGCGUGAUACACCCAUGCCGCGUGAGCGUCUUAAGUCCUUAGGGUGGUCACGCUCUUUCACACGGGAAGAUAAUGACGGUACCUGAAGAAGAAACCCCGGCUAACUACGUGCCAGCAGCCGCGGUAAUAACGGAGGGGGCGAGCGUUGUUCGGAAUUACUGGGCGUAAAGCGCACGUAGGCGGAUUUAUAAGUCAGGGGUGAAAUCCCCGGGCUCAAACCUNGGAACGGCCCUUGAGACUGUCUAUCUAGAGUUUGUGAGAGGGGAGUGGAAUUCCGGGUGUAGCGGUGAAAUUCGUAGAUAUUUGGAGGAACACCAGUGGCGAAGGCAGCUCCCUGGGUAGAUACUGACGCUCAUGCGCGAAAGCGUGGGGAGCAAACAGGAUUAGAUAUCCCUGGUAGUCCACGCCCUAAACGAUGGAAACUAGCUGUUGGGGAUUUACCUCUUCAGUGUCAGCAGCUAACGACCUAAGGAUUCCGCCCUGGGGAGUAGUCUCGGGAAAUUG
rnacentral:rRNA from 1 species